UAACGCGUGAAGUAGACCGCCUGGGGAGUACGGUCGCAAGAUUAAAACUCAAAGGAAUUGACGGGGACCCGCACAAGCGGUGGAUGAUGUGGAUUAAUUCGAUGCAACGCGAAAAACCUUACCUACCCUUGACAUGGAUGGAAUCCUGAAGAGAUUUGGGAGUGCUCGAAAGAGAACCAUCACACAGGUGCUGCAUGGCUGUCGUCAGCUCGUGUCGUGAGAUGUUGGGUUAAGUCCCGCAACGAGCGCAACCCUUGUCAUUAGUUGCUACGAAAGGGCACUCUAAUGAGACUGCCGGUGACAAACCGGAGGAAGGUGGGGAUGACGUCAAGUCCUCAUGGCCCUUAUGGGUAGGGCUUCACACGUCAUACAAUGGUACAUACAGAGGGCCGCCAACCCGCGAGGGGGAGCUAAUCCCAGAAAGUGUAUCGUAGUCCGGAUUGGAGUCCGCAACUCGACUCCAUGAAGUUGGAAUCGCUAGUAAUCGCGGAUCAGCAUGUCGCG
rnacentral:rRNA from 1 species